UUAAAUUGAAGAGUUUGAUCAUGGCUCAGAUUGAACGCUGGCGGCAGGCCUAACACAUGCAAGUCGAACGGUAACAGGAAGUAGCUUGCUGCUUCGCUGACGAGUGGCGGACGGGUGAGUAAUGUCUGGGAA
rnacentral:rRNA from 1 species